rnacentral:rRNA from 1 species
UACCCUUGACAUAUCUAGAAGGCUUAAGAGAUUGAGCUGUGCUCGCAAGAGAACUGGAACACAGGUGCUGCAUGGCUGUCGUCAGCUCGUGUCGUGAGAUGUUGGGUUAAGUCCCGCAACGAGCGCAACCCUUGUCAUUAGUUGCUACGAAAGGGCACUCUAAUGAGACUGCCGGUGACAAACCGGAGGAAGGUGGGGAUGACGUCAAGUCCUCAUGGCCCUUAUGGGUAGGGCUUCACACGUCAUACAAUGGUCGGGACAGAGGGUCGCCAAACCGCGAGGUGGAGCCAAUCCCAGAAACCCGAUCGUAGUCCGGAUUGCAGGCUGCAACUCGCCUGCAUGAAGUCGGAAUCGCUAGUAAUCGCGGAUCAGCAUGUCGCGGUGAAUACGUUCCCGGGUCUUGUACACACCGCCCGUCACACCAUGGGAGCGGGUUUUACCAGAAGUAGGUAGCCUAACCGUAAGGGGGGCGCUUACCACGGUAGGAUUCGUGACUGGGGUGAAGUCGUAACAAGGUAAGCGUAGUGCU